rnacentral:tRNA from 1 species
GGUAGGAUGGCUGAGUUAUAGGCGUUAGAUUGUAAAUCUAUUUACGGGGGUUUCCUCUCGUACCG